rnacentral:rRNA from 1 species
UACGUAGGGUGCAAGCGUUUGUCCGGAAUUAUUGGGCGUAAAAGAGCUCGUAGGCGGUUUGUUGCGUCGGCUGUGAAAUCCCGAGGCUCAACCUCGGGUCUGCAGUCGAUACGAGCAAACUAGAGUGUUGCAGGGGGAGACUGGAAUUCCUGGUGUAGCGGUGGGAAUGCGCAGAUAUCAGGAGGAACACCGAUGGCGAAGGCAGAUCUCUGGGCCGUAACUGACGCUGAGGAGCGAAAGCAUGGGGAGCGAACAGG